rnacentral:rRNA from 1 species
GACGAACGCUGGCGGCGUGCUUAACACAUGCAAGUCGAGCGGAAAGGCCCUGCUUUUGUGGGGUGCUCAAGUGGCGAACGGGUGAGUAACACGUGAGUAACCUGCCCUUGACUUUGGGAUAACUUCAGGAAACUGGGGCUAAUACCGGAUAGGAGCUCCUGCUGCAUGGUGGGGGUUGGAAAGUUUCGGCGGUUGGGGAUGGACUCGCGGCUUAUCAGCUUGUUGGUGGGGUAGUGGCUUACCAAGGCUUUGACGGGUAGCCGGCCUGAGAGGGUGACCGGCCACAUUGGGACUGAGAUACGGCCCAGACUCCUACGGGAGGCAGCAGUGGGGAAUAUUGCACAAUGGGCGGAAGCCUGAUGCAGCAACGCCGCGUGCGGGAUGACGGCCUUCGGGUUGUAAACCGCUUUCGCCUGUGACGAAGCGUGAGUGACGGUAAUGGGUAAAGAAGCACCGGCUAACUACGUG